UGGCAGAGGUAAUCGACCUUGUGUGUAUGAGUCUAGUGAUUCAGAUGAAGAUUGGACACCUAAAUGUCUUGUGAAAAACCCACUACAGGUGAGAACCUUUAAGCCACCUUUCAAAAAUGAUGGUACCAAGAAGACAAAGAAAGAGAACAGCAAAAAGAACGAGAAAGGACAAUUGGCAAUUGCAUCCCAUUUACAGGAGGACAAAGACGCAGGUUUAAGGAGCUUCAGUGAGGACACUCCCUCAGUCCUGGAAGAGACAGUUUCAGUUAAAAAAAUCAACCGAGAAACUAA